GUCAUUACCAUGGGCUAUGAAGGCCUGGGCUCUCCCCAGCUCUGCCAUUUAUUGGCUGGUCAACAUUGAAAAAGAAACAUCUGUGCUUCCAUCUCACCAUCUGCGAAAUGGGGUAAUAACCCCCACCCCUACCACACCAGGUGGGGAGAACCGGAUGAGGCGGUGACAGGUGGGGAGAAUUGGAUGAGGCAGUGACAGGAAAUUCUCAUUCCAGUCAAUAUCUCCCCUUCUCCGCCUGUGACAACCACUGAUCGCCUUGCUGUCACAGUCAAUCCGUGAAAGGACCUGCUCCUGAACAUGCAAUCGAGCCGUGCAGGAGGUCAUCUUCUGUGCCUGGUUUGGAGAUUUCUGCAACAUGGUUGCAUCCCUCCAUGAGGCUUUCUUGCUGCUGAGUGGGAUUCCAAUGUCCCAGUGUCCACAUAGACUCCAGCUGGUUGACCCAUUCACUACGAUGGACACUGGGUUAUUUCCAUGGUGGGGUAACUAUUGAUAAAGCCACUGCAGAUGUGUUUACACAA
rnacentral:lncRNA from 1 species